UUCAUCUCAAGAUUAGGUCAGCUGGGUAUAAGGAGACUCUCCGAAUCUCCCCGGCCCUCUGUUCUUAACCCAUAUCAGCACGAUCUUAAACAGCAGAGGGCGCCCUGCUGACAGCAAUCUGAGGGAUCUCCCCAGAGUGAGGACCAGGGAGAAACUUGAUAUGCCCAAGUAUGAACCCAACUUAAAGAGGAAGAAUGAUAUGAACUGGAGGUGCUUUCGGAAACUUGUUGCAGAUCUGAGGUCUGAAGAUGCAGAGAAAUGGCUUUUACCACGUUUCACUUUGAAAGUUGAGGAGACUAAGACUUGGCGAGGGGAAGAAGUUUGCCGAGGUUUGCACAGCAGCAGCUGGGAGCCCCGCUGUGGUCAUCUGAUUCUAGCGCCCGUUUCUCAUCACUGCAUGGUACUGCCUAUGAGAAAAGGAUGCCUGGCGGUGACUGUCCCUACCACCUAGACUGAUGUGACAAAAAUGGAACUUGGUGCUUCCUGGGAUCACCAAACCCCUGUCUCAGAUUGUGCUUUUGGGGGAGUUCACUGGAUGACAGUUCUUUAUGGAUGAGUUUGUUCAGAUACAGGGUUAGCUGAGCAUGAUUUUGGUAUGAUUAUUUCAAUGAAUCAAUACUCUGAGAAGAGCAUCCCAGAUGAAUCAUGGGGAGAUAUAAGGCAGAGCCCUGAAGCUGAACAAAUCGGUGGAUUCCAUCUUCUUGGCCCCUCUAUUCUGGAGUGAGAAAUCAGACUGAAUCUCAAGACUCCUGUGAUCAAGUCUAGAACAAAGGCUGAUUCUCUCCCUUUGGAGCAUACGAUGAGCCAUUUUUGUCAGGAUGAAGGAAGCUGUUUUCAACAUAAAGCUGAUUCACAAAUGAGAGGAAAACUAAGGUAAGUUCAGCCAACAGUUGGGAAACCUGAUUGACAUCAAGGACUGAUGCGUUAAAUUGCAUGUGAAGUCCACUCUGUCGUAA